CCUUUUCACCUUGAGACUGCUUAUGUGACAGUGAAUUGAAUCUAUGGUUAGGUCUUGAAGCAGAAAACGCAACUAAGUAAAAUAAUAACAUAUGUACUCAUUUAAAUUGAGUCAAAAACGGAAACGGCAACUAAAUUUAAAUAAAUCUAGAGAACAAUGGGCAGGUUUAUAACCCGGAAAACCCGGAAAAUUAUUGAUGGAAAACCUAAAAACAUUUAAAUGAUUAUAACUGUAAAACUAUGUGUACUAAAACUUUGAAAUCUGGUACAUUUAUAAAGUGCUAGCCCUGGCCAUUAUAAAUCAAUAGCCACUUUUUUUUUCAGGAAAAAAAAUUUAGACAAACUUGGCGCGGGCGUUAUUCGCGCGCGCUUUCAUUCUGUACACUACGGUAGCGCUUUCAUACUGUCGCACUGGCCUGUGUACUUUCGCUCGGGGCAUUAUGGGUAAGAACUAUUUUCAACAUGGAGUCGUAAACAAGGAAGUGACAGACUAAUUUCCAAAGUAUCAGUUUGAUGUAGUCCAGUAAGGCUAAAUGUACAGUCUAGUCAGAAAUGGUCCAGACCUAAAAGGCUAAAUACCAGACCUAAAAGGCUAAUUACCAGAUGCACACUUUGUUUUCUUGUAUUGUAUUCUUGUUUUGUUAAUUGAUAUUUUUUCUUGAAUAAACAGUUGAUAAUUAGUACGAGUUUAUAUGAUAUCGGAAUAGUAAAAAUCAUAUUCAAUAAAGAUUUCUCAGCUUGCUUCAAAAUUGUAAAAAAAUCUCAGAA